rnacentral:misc_RNA from 1 species
GAUGAAGAACGCAGCGAAAUGCGAUAAGUAAUGUGAAUUGCAGAAUUCAGUGAAUCAUCGAAUCUUUGAACGCACAUUGCGCCCCUUGGUAUUCCGAGGGGCAUGCCUGUUCGAGCGUCAUUAUAACCCCUCAAGCUCAGCUUGGUGUUGGGGCCUGCUGCACUGGCAGCCCUCAAAAUCAGUGGCGGCGCCAUCUGGCUCUAAGCGUAGUAAUUCUUCUCGCUAUGGAGUCCUGGUGGAUGCUUGCCAUCAACCCCCAAUUUUUCUAUGGUUGACCUCGGAUCAGGUAGGGAUACCCGCUGAACUUAAGCAUAUCAAUAAGCGGAGGA